UGUCUUCCUUGAACAUGGGUGAAGCACAUUUUUUGUAUAUACUCCCAAAAAUAUCAUUGGUGUAUUACUCAAAAGGAGAUGGUUCAUAAGGUGGUUAUGACAAUGAAGACAAGGUUGCCAUGGCUUAUGAUCUGGCUGCUCCGAAAUAUUGGGGGCCAUCGACGCACACCAAUUUCCCGAUUAGUGGAAAAUUAUCGAGAGGUGGAGGAGAUGUAAAGCAUGACAAGGCAGGAAUUCGUUGCACACUUGAGAAGUGAUCUCCUGGAGUUAGUUUCAGCAGAGAGAGGAGAUGAACCUGGGCAGCAGCCGAGCCUCAACUUGGGCGCGGGCGAGGA